rnacentral:rRNA from 1 species
UACGGGGGGGGCAAGCGUUGUUCGGAAUUACUGGGCGUAAAGGGCUCGUAGGUGGCCAACUAAGUCGGACGUGAAAUCCCUCAGCUUAACUGGGGAACUGCGUCCGAUACUGGAUGGCUUGAGUUUGGGAGAGGGAUGCGGAAUUCCAGGUGUAGCGGUGAAAUGCGUAGAUAUCUGGAGGAACACCGGUGGCGAAGGCGGCAUCCUGGGCCAACACUGACACUGAGGAGCGAAAGCCAGGGGAGCAAACGGG